rnacentral:rRNA from 1 species
UCAAGUCAUCAUGGCCCUUACGAGUAGGGCUACACACGUGCUACAAUGGCGUAUACAGAGGGCAGCGAUACCGCGAGGUGGAGCGAAUCUCACAAAGUACGUCGUAGUCCGGAUUGGAGUCUGCAACUCGACUCCAUGAAGUCGGAAUCGCUAGUAAUCGCAAAUCAGAAUGUUGCGGUGAAUACGUUCCCGGGCCUUGUACACACCGCCCGUCACACCAUGGGAGUGGGCUGCAAAAGAAGCAGGUAGUUUAACCUUCGGGAGGACGCUUGCCACUUUGUGGUUCAUGACUGGGGUGAAGUCGUAACAAGGUAGCGCUAGGGGAACCUGGCGCUGGAUCACCUCCUUACACGA